rnacentral:rRNA from 3 species
ACGACCAUACCCACUGGAGAACUCGGGAUCCCGUCCGCUCUCCCAUAGAUAAGCCAGUGAGGGCCGGAUUAGUAGUUGGGUCGGUGACGACCAGCGAAUACCUGGUGUUGUAUGUU